AUGAUGCUGCUUAUCACAGUUAUCCUGCUCUGUGCUGUUGGGAGUGGAAGGUUUGAGAGCCCUAUUACAUCAGACCAAACUGAGGUCUUUGAUGAGGAGGGUGCCAAUAUAACUUUGUCCUGCAGCUACUCAGCUGCAAUUAGUUUGCACUGGUACCGUCAAUAUCCCAGAUCAGCUCCUGAAUAUCUUUUAUUAAUUCUGCAAACCUCUGGACGGGUCCAGACCGCAGAGAAGCUGGAUUCUCGGUUUUCAGCAAAACUGAAUGAAAAGAAAAACCGUGUGGAUCUGAUCAUCUCCUAUGUCAAAGUGACAGAUGCAGCUCUGUACUACUGUGCCCUGGAGCCCACAGUGACAGGAAACACAAUAACACUGUACAGAAACUUGCCUAUACACAGUAGAAAAGACAUAGACACUUAA